GACGUAGGGCGCGAGCGUUUGUCCGGAUUUAUUGGGCGUAAAGAGCUCGUAGGCGGCUUGUCGCGUCGUCCGUGAAAACCUGCGGCUCAACUGCAGGCUGGCGGUCGAUACGGGCGAGGCUGGAGUUCGGUAGGGGAGACUGGGAAUUCCUGGUGUGAGCGGUGAAAUGCGCAGAUAGUCAGGAGGAACACCGGUGGCGAAGGCGGGUC
rnacentral:rRNA from 1 species